CCUACGGGAGGCUGCAGUCGAGAAUCAUUCACAAUGGGGGAAACCCUGAUGGUGCGAAGCCGCGUGGGGGAAUGAAGGUCUUCGGAUUGUAAACCCCUGUCAUGUGGGAGCAAAUUAAAAAGAUAGUACCACAAGAGGAAGAGACGGCUAACUCUGUGCCAGCAGCCGCGGUACUACAGAGGUCUCGAGCGUUGUUCGGAAUCACUGGGCGUAAAGCGUGCGUAGGCUGUUUCGUAAGUCGGGUGUGAAAGGCGCGGGCUCAACCCGCGGAAGGCAAAUGAUACUGGGAGACUAGAGUAAUGGAGGGGGAACCGGAAUUCUCGGUGUAGCAGUGAAAUGCGUAGAUAUCGAGAGGAACACUCGUGGCGAAGGCGGGUUCCUGGACAUUAACUGACGCUGAGGCACGAAGGCCAGGGGAGCGAAAGGGAUUAGAUACCCCUGUAGUC
rnacentral:rRNA from 1 species